CGUUGCAAACAUAAUUGUUCUACUCAAGAGGUCAAGUUGAAAUAUUUUAGUUUGGUUUAAUACUUGAUGAAUGUAAAAACUUGAUCAAUAUUUUCGACCUAUCCACCGUAAUAAGCUAAACGAGCUUCGAACAACCGGCCCAGGGCCACAAUAACUAAGUAGAGAGCUAUGAGAUAGCUGCACAUUAGUCAGUUUAGAUUUGUACAGAGUUGGGUUUUUUGCCGCCGUUGUAAUGUUUAUUUCAGUUCUUUGAAUUAUUACGUCAUUCAUGCGAGACGUCAGUUCGCAAACUUUACUCGAAAUUCGUGCCGAUUAAGAUACAUCAGCAAAUCAUCAGCCCCGUAUUAAAUCUGUGCGGGCUAAAGGCAGCGUUAGACGCUAACCUUCAAUCACUAUAGUUCUUUUGUUACAAUGUUGCUUCCUUCUGCUAUCAGUUUAGAUUCGUU
rnacentral:lncRNA from 1 species